rnacentral:misc_RNA from 1 species
GAUGAAGAACGCAGCGAAAUGCGAUAAGUAGUGUGAAUUGCAGAAUUUAGUGAAUCAUCGAAUCUUUGAACGCACAUUGCGCCCUUUGGUAUUCCUUAGGGUAUGCCUGUUCGAGCGUCAUCUACACCCUCAAGCACAGCUUGGUGAUGGGCGCCUGUCCCGCCCCCCACGGGGGCGCGGACUCGCCUCAAAUGCAUUGGCGGCCGGCGACCUGGCUUCGAGCGCAGCAGAAACGCGUACUCGGGGACCGGGCGCCCGCUCCCAGAAGCCAAACCACCCAGUUUGACCUCGGAUCAGGUAGGGAUACCCGCUGAACUUAAGCAUAUCAAUAAGCGGAGGA